UCUACAGUGCAGAGCAGUAGGCUGGUUCAGGAUUGUUGCCUCCAACCAGAUGGAACUACUCCAGAUGAGUAUCGACAGGAUAGAGACGGUGUUACAAGGCGCUCGUCAACUAUAGAGUACUUGAGGCAUGAUACACCAGCUUUAGAUAUCGCAAGGACCGCUUUAGUAGUAAUAACCCGAAAGAAGUCACGUUGCUAAUGUCGUGCAAGUCCUUUAUAACUAGAGCUGUGACAAUAUAUCGUAGUAUCAAAAAUUGUGAUACUUUAUCUAACGAUAAAUAUAUAUCGAUACUUUUUUUCGUAUCGUGAUAUGCAUCAUUGACCUUAAAAUUGUUAAUUUUUACUGGAAACUGACCGUUAUUUCAGAAUUUACGCUGUUACUUGCUAUCAAAAUACACUUUUUUAAAGAAAAUAACUAAAGAUAGCAUAUCGCGUGUGCAUCGAAUUGAAUCGAAUCGAAUCGUUCCAAAAUAUCGCGAUACAUAUCGUUUCGUGAAAUUUCUGUAUCGUCACACCCCUAUUUAUAACAUGCAUUGUUUCAAUAAAUAAUCAGCGUUA